AAACACAGUUUUUCUUUGGGGUUUGAAAUUUCAUGGGUAAAUUGACACCUUGGAAUAUUUGAUUUCAUUUGGGGAGGCUAAAUUGACACCUUGAGUUAGUUAGGUAUUAUUUGAUUUGGCCUACCAGUGUUUAUUUUGCUCCUCUAAUGCACAAAAUACUCCCUCAAAAUUAAUGUGGUGUGUUAGGAAGAAGAUGCAAUCCCGCAGUGGGGGCGCCAUUGGAAGAAGAUGCAGUUAGUUAGUUACAAUCAUAUUAGAGUUGUUAUAAAGGUAGUGUAUAUACAGGAUAUUGAAUGCAUGAAUAAACGGAGAGAAAGAUUUGAGUAAAAGCUUAGUUUAGUUCAGGAGGGACCUUGACCUCGAACCAAGGCAAUUUAUCUUCUUCCUCUCGCUCAUAACAAUUGGUCCGACAUGCCAUCCAUGUCUGCCUCUACCUGCCAGAACCACUACCUUCCACCUUACCCACUCACUACAGCCACCUACCGCCCAUGGCUGCCUCUACCCCUACUCCGGCCAUACCAUAACACACCACCCGCAACCACCCCUGCAGGAGCCAUCCCUUCUGCCCCAGCACCCACCUUCUCCUUAUACACAUCCAGCUCAAUCCCUUGGGAUUGAUUUUGAGAGUACUCGGAUCCGCUUGCUAGCCUUGUGCGGUACCUGGAUCCCAUGGUUUCCUUCUUUGGUGCAGCCACCACCGCCGCCGCUGCCGCCGCCUUCCAUGGAUCCUACAACGCCAACGGCAAUGCUGGAACAUCAAAACACAGGAACUUCCUCCUCCGCCAACCACCACUAACAACAACACCCACGUCAGCUCCGUCCUCCUCCGCACAACCACCACCAACAACAGCACCCACGUCAACUCCACCUCCCUUGGCUGUUUCCCACCAUCCCAAACUCAAAACAGUCGCACCCAUGGCUCCCUCGCUUCCCCGCUUUCAUACGACCAACCGUCACUUCCAACUCAGUCGUCUGUUGCCCCUUUCACUCCGCACUGCCCACUGUCGUUACCGCCACGACCAUUGCCACAAAAUCCCUUAUGGCAAUGACACCAUCUUGCUCGACGACGAUGCCGUCAAGCAUCAGAUUCAUCUGUGCUUGGUUUGGAUUCUUUUCGCCGUCAAGACUUGGCUUUUUUCUGUCUGUCAUCAGCGACGACGUCCGCCGCCACACCCGCCACCACAUCCACCACCACCACCACCGAAGCCACCGCCUCAACCACAACCAUGGCUGGCACAGACUGAGCUUCUGUUUUACUCAUGUUCUGUUUUCUGCGCCCAACACCUUGAGGACAAGGUGUUUUUGAUGGGCUAGGGAAUGUUAGGAGGAAGAUGCAACAGGUAGAAGAUCAAGCAGCAGUGGGGCGCCAUUGGAAGAAGAUGCAGCAGGUAGAAGAUCCAGCAGUGGGGUGGCAUUGGAAGAAGAUGCUUGCACUACCAUAAAUUGCCAUAGAAUCAGUUAGUUAGUUAGUUACAACCAUAUUAGGGUUGUUAGAAGCUGUUGUAAAGUUAGUUACUGAUUUGUUAAAAGCUAUUAUAAAGGUAGUGUAUAUACAGGAUAAUGCAUGAAUAAAAGGAGAGAAACAUUUCGAGUAAAAGCUUAGUUUAGUUCAGGAGGGACCUUGACCUCGAACCAAGGCAAUUUAUCUUCUUCCUCUCGCUCAUAACAUGCUGUUAUCGGUUUAGGUGGGUAGGAAGUAGGAUGAUAUUACAUUAAGCUGUAUUUCACUUUGAGAUGUUUGUUCAUGAGUGUGAUGAGCGAAUUAGUUAGAAGUUCAUAACUCCAUGAGGGUGUGCAGUGGUUUCUUGGGGAGGAUUGGUUUAAUGAUCUUCAUGUUCUGCAGUACAAUAUCUGUUUCCGAGGAUGAGAGUGGGGAGCCAGUGAGAUCGUAAGUUAAAAAGCAUUGGAUCUGGCCAUGAUUAACCAAAUAAAUAAAAAUAAAAAAUAAGAAAUCACAUGAUUAGAAUGGAAAGCUUUGACUUUAUGUCUGAGGAUGGUUCUUUUUAUGAAAGGCCAAAGAAAG
rnacentral:lncRNA from 1 species